UCGGGAAUUUUGGGCAAUGGGCGAAAGCCUGACCCAGCAACGCCGCGUGAAGGAUGAAGUAUUUCGGUAUGUAAACUUCGAAAGAAUAGGAAGAAUAAAUGACGGUACUAUUUAUAAGGUCCGGCUAACUACGUGCCAGCAGCCGCGGUAAUACGUAGGGACCAAGCGUUGUUCGGAAUUACUGGGCGUAAAGAGUGUGUAGGUGGUGUCGUAAGUUUGGUGUGAAAUCUCCCGGCUUAACUGGGAGGGUGCGCCGAAGACUGCGAUGCUGGAGUAUGGGAGAGGAAAGCGGAAUUCCUGGUGUAGCGGUGAAAUGCGUAGAUAUCAGGAGGAACACCUGCGGUGUAGACGGCUUUCUGGACCAUUACUGACACUGAGACACGAAAGCGUGGGUAGCAAACAGGAUUAGAUACCCGAGUAGUCCCUGAGCGGGCUGGCA
rnacentral:rRNA from 1 species